rnacentral:rRNA from 1 species
AACGAACGCUGGCGGCAGGCCUAACACAUGCAAGUCGAACGCCGUAGCAAUACGGAGUGGCAGACGGGUGAGUAACACGUGGGAACGUACCUUUCGGUUCGGAAUAACUCAGGGAAACUUGAGCUAAUACUGGAUACGUGCGAGAGCAGAAAGAUUUAUCGCCGAAAGAUCGGCCCGCGUCCGAUUAGCUUGUUGGUGAGGUAACGGCUCACCAAGGCAACGAUCGGUAGCUGGUCUGAGAGGAUGAUCAGCCACACUGGGACUGAGACACGGCCCAGACUCCUACGGGAGGCAGCAGUGGGGAAUAUUGGACAAUGGGCGAAAGCCUGAUCCAGCAAUGCCGCGUGAGUGAUGAAGGCCUUAGGGUUGUAAAGCUCUUUUACCAGGGAUGAUAAUGACAGUACCUGGAGAAUAAGCUCCGGCUAACUCCGUG